rnacentral:rRNA from 1 species
CCUACGGGUGGCAGCAGUGAGGAAUAUUGGUCAAUGGACGCAAGUCUGAACCAGCCAUGCCGCGUGCAGGAAGACGGCUCUAUGAGUUGUAAACUGCUUUUGUACGGGGGUAAACGCAGAUACGCGUAUCUGUCUGAAAGUAUCGUACGAAUAAGGAUCGGCUAACUCCGUUCCAGCAGCCGCGGUAAUACGGAGGAUUCAAGCGUUGUCCGGAUUUCUUGGGUUUAAAGGGUGCGUAGGCGGGCGGAUAAGUUAGAGGUGAAAUCCCGAGGCUCAACUUCGGAAUUGCAUCUGAUACUGUUCGGCUAGAGAGUAGGUGCGGUAGGCGGAAUGUAUGGUGUAGCGGUGAAAUGCGUAGAGAUCAUGCAGAACACCGAUUGCGAAGGCAGCGUACCAGGCAACUGCUGACGUUGAGGCACGAAAGCGUGGGGAGCAAACAGGAUUAGAUACCCGAGUAGUC